rnacentral:rRNA from 1 species
AUGGAUCAGAAGACAAAGAAACCGCAAGGGGAAAGCCUUCAGGGUUCCGACAGGAGAUUGCGGUGGACACUUGGAGAGAGCACUCAGGGAUGCUGGCAAGGAAGGGAAGAAAGUGUAUUCCAGCCAUGCAAGGGGAUGGAAUUCAACUCCGAGCAGGAGGCAUAUCAAUUCUACAACGCUUAUUCAUGGGAGAUCGGUUUUGGAAUCAGGCAUGGCAACAAGUACAUAAAUAAGCAUGGAUACAAGUCCAAGCAAGACCUUCUAUGCUCCUGCGAGGGUUCUUGCAAAAAAUCAGACACAAAGUCAUCUCGAACCAACUGCCCCGCCAUGGUUAGACUGAACAGAACUGACGACGACAGAUGGUAUUAUGCCAACGUGGUACUAGAGCACAACCACAGAAUGGCUGAUACUGUUGGUGAAAGGAAGACAUUGAAGUGUCACAAGUACGUGGACUCAUCUAUCAAGGAGAUUGUUAGGCACUUGCGUGCUAACAAUGUGUCUCUUACUAAGGUCUAUGGAGUGAUGGCUGAUAUUCAUGGUUCCUACGAAGACGUGCCAUUCCGCAAAAGGUCUCUGAAGUCAAUGUGUUCAUCAAUUGCUCAUGAACACAGUCAAGAUGACAUUAGCAAGACCCUAGCCCUUUUUUCAAGGAUGCAAGCAGAGAACUCUGGAUUCUUUUUUGCAGUCAAAACUGACGAAGAAAGAAGGGUUUCUGGUUUGUUUAGGUGUCACCAAAAGAGUAGGGAGGAUUACAGUUGUUUCGGCGAUGCAGUAAUGUUUGACACAACCUAUAAGAGCAACUUGUCCUUUUCGAAAAAUAAGAGCAACUUGUACGAGAUGCCGGUUGGUAUGUUCGUCGGCGUCAACAACCACUACCAAUGCUGCAUUUUUGGUUGUGUUUUUCUCCGUGAAGAGACUGUAGAUUCUUUCAAGUGGGCUUUUGAAACUUUCCUAUCUGCAAUGGACAACAAACAGCCUUUGACUAUAUUGACAGACCAAAGCAGGCAAAUGGAGUGUGCUAUCUCUGCCGUCAUGGAUUCUUCGACACACGUCUGGUGUAAAUGGCAUGUGUUGAAGAAGAUGAGGGAGAAAAUUGGUAGUAUGUAUAGGAAUGGUACACCUUUUCGCAAUGACUUCAACAUGCUCAUCAAUGAGAUGAUGACAGAACAGGAGUUUGAAAAGGAGUGGGAGGAAAUAACUCUGCAUUACGGGCUUGAAACAAACUCAUUCAUGAAACAAGUGUAUGAAGUCAGACACAAAUGGGCGAAGCCGUAUCUGAAGGGGAAUUUCUGCGCUAAAAUGUGCAGCACCCAGCGAAGUGAGUGCAUGAAGAAUGUCCUGAAAUCAUAUGUUUCUCGGUCUGCACCAAUCAAUUGCUUUUGGAGGGAUUCGAUCUCUCGGGAGGAGGUCAUCGCUUUUGGAGGGAUUCAAGAUCCGGUGUCCAAGGGGCGCCGGAUGAGUGGACGACUCCAAAGCCAGCCUGACGUGGACGAUAUUCAGCAGCGGUGCGCCAUGAGGGCGGCCAAGCUUCGUGACGUCGAGGUCACUACUGGUUUUAUUCCGUGCUACGGCGCUGAUCCGUAUGUGGUCCUUACUCACUCCGACGGAGGCCAGGGAGCGUUUGGUUACUGGAUCAGCCUGGUGGGAGAUGGUAGCGCGGGAUAUCUUCAACCGGUUUGGAUGGCGGUCAUAUAA